rnacentral:rRNA from 1 species
GUGGGGAAUAUUGGACAAUGGGCGAAAGCCUGAUCCAGCCAUGCCGCGUGUGUGAAGAAGGUCUUCGGAUUGUAAAGCACUUUAAGUUGGGAGGAAGGGUAGUAACCUAAUACGUUGCUACUUUGACGUUACCGACAGAAUAAGCACCGGCUAACUUCGUGCCAGCAGCCGCGGUAAUACGAAGGGUGCAAGCGUUAAUCGGAAUUACUGGGCGUAAAGCGCGCGUAGGUGGUUCAGUAAGUUGGAAGUGAAAUCCCCGGGCUCAACCUGGGAACUGCUUUCAAAACUGCUGAGCUAGAGUACGGUAGAGGGUGGUGGAAUUUCCUGUGUAGCGGUGAAAUGCGUAGAUAUAGGAAGGAACACCAGUGGCGAAGGCGACCACCUGGACUGAUACUGACACUGAGGUGCGAAAGCGUGGGGAGCAAACAGGAUUAGAUACCCCUGUAUCC